GGACAUUGCAGUUCACCAAAUGGUCACAGGCAAAGUUCUUGAUGCUUAAAUGCACCUGUGACCUCAGAAUGAGGUCAAAAAUGGAAGGGACAUAUGUAGCAAAGUGACGUCCAGGUUCGACU